CGCGGGAUUAGAGUUUGAUCAUGGCUCAGAUUGAACGCUGGCGGCAGGCUUAACACAUGCAAGUCGAGCGGUAACAGGAAUAGCUUGCUAUUUGCUGACGAGCGGCGGACGGGUGAGUAAUGCUUGGGAAUAUGCCUUAUGGUGGGGGACAACAGUUGGAAACGACUGCUAAUACCGCAUAAUGUCUACGGACCAAAGGGGGGGAUCUUCGGACCUCUCGCCAUUUGAUUAGCCCAAGUGAGAUUAGCUAGUUGGUAAGGUAAUAGCUUACCAAGGCGACGAUCUCUAGCUGGUUUGAGAGGAUGAUCAGCCACACUGGGACUGAGACACGGCCCAGACUCCUACGGGAGGCAGCAGUGGGGAAUAUUGCACAAUGGGGGGAACCCUGAUGCAGCCAUGCCGCGUGUGUGAAGAAGGCCUUCGGGUUGUAAAGCACUUUCAGUUGUGAGGAAAGGUGAGUAGUUAAUAGCUGCAUACUGUGACGUUAACAACAGAAGAAGCACCGGCUAACUUCGUGCCAGCAGCCGCGGUAAUACGAGGGGUGCAAGCGUUAAUCGGAAUUACUGGGCGUAAAGCGUUCGUAGGCGGUUGAAUAAGCAAGAUGUGAAAGCCCAGGGCUCAACCUUGGAACUGCAUUUUGAACUGUUCGACUAGAGUACUGUAGAGGGGGGUAGAAUUUCA
rnacentral:rRNA from 1 species